rnacentral:rRNA from 1 species
AUUGAACGCUGGCGGCAGGCUUAACACAUGCAAGUCGAACGAGUGGCGGACGGGUGAGUAAUGCUUGGGAAUCUAGCUUAUGGAGGGGGAUAACUACGGGAAACUGUAGCUAAUACCGCGUACCAUAGGAUGAGCCCAAGUGGGAUUAGGUAGUUGGUGAGGUAAAGGCUCACCAAGCCGACGAUCUCGAGCUGGUCGGAGAGGAUGACCAGCCACACUGGGACUGAGACACGGCCCAGACUCCUCCGGGAGGCAGCAGUGGGGAAGAUUGCGCAAUGGGGGCAACCCUGACGCAGCCAUGCCGCGUGAAUGAAGAAGGCCUUCGGGUUGUAAAGCACUUUCAGCGGGGAGGCGUUACCCGCAGAAGAAGCACCGGCUAACUCCGUGCCAGCCGCCGCGGUAAUAC